AUUUGUGCCUAGGAGAGAGGACGAUGAGGCAUGGAGUAAACUGCAUAAGAUGAACUUAAAAAUUUGUAAUCCUUUCCCAGUAUUGUCAAGGUGAUUAGGUCAAGAAAAAUGAGAUGGAUGGGGCAUGUAGCAUGCAUGGAUGCGGCAAGAGGUAUGCACUGGGUAUUUAUCGGGUAGUCUGAGGGGAAGAGACCACUGGGGAGACCUAGACGAAGAUGGGAGGAUAAUGUCAGGCGGGAUCUAAGGGAUAUAGGAGUUGAAGGAAACUCGAUUUUGUUGUCUCAGGACAGGGACAUGUGGAGGGCUUUGGUUAAUUUGGUGAUGAACCUUCAGGUUCCGUAAGCCAUCUAGUUAGUUAGUUAGUUAGUCACUUAUUAAACUUAGAAUAAAUAAUAUGCUGCUUCCUCCCUAGUUUCUUCUCAUCCUGUUCAUUAUUCAGUAACUCAUGCAUUUCAAUAAGUUAAAUAAUUAAAUAACCUACAGACUAUCUGUUAAAAUUUUCUUUUUAUUCAAUGGGCAAUUCUGCUUGAAUGACGUCAAAUGCACUUAAUUCUUUCAGUGAUUGUAAUUCUGUGCUUCUGUUCUUUCUUCCUCAGUACGCCUAUACUAUUAUAUUCUUCAGAAUCUAUAACCAUAUGGUUAUUGGACCUCAAUUAUUUCAACUUAUUGCUGAGGAGAAGUUUGCGAACUUUGACUCCAUUGAUUGGUAUAUAUCAAUUUACAGCCUUGCAACUAGUGAGCUCGUAAGCAAAAUGUUUAAGAAAAUUGACAAAUACACCUGUUUCAACAACACCAUAUUCCAAUCCAGCAUGACGUUUGACAGGUGCUGCGGUUAUAAUGCUGCAUUUUUGCUUAUCUUCCUCAUUCAAUGUGUCAUAGCCGUUCAGAUGAUGUACCAACUGUAUUGGAUCUUUCUAUAUAUGUAUAUGAGCAUGCAUGGGCAUAAAUACAUGUGUGCAUGUGUAUAAUGAUGGGAUGUUAUCAAACUACGCAUCCAGAAAUGUUCAACUUUGACAGUUUACACUAGUGUGAAGGUGUGUAUGGGAAAAAUCAACCUUGAAUUAUUUAACCCUAAGAAUUCUCAAAAAUGAAUAGAAAUGUUCAACAUUGUAUUGUGCAAAAUAUACAAAACAUAGAGUCCCAUGUCCGGAA